GAAGAGCGGCGGACGGGUGAGUAACGCGUGGGUAACCUGCCCUGUACACACGGAUAACAUACCGAAAGGUAUGCUAAUACGGGAUGAUAUAUAAGAGUCGCAUGACUUUUAUAUCAAAGAUUUUUCGGUACAGGAUGGACCCGCGUCUGAUUAGCUUGUUGGCGGGGUAACGGCCCACCAAGGCGACGAUCAGUAGCCGACCUGAGAGGGUGAUCGGCCACAUUGGAACUGAGACACGGUCCAAACUCCUACGGGAGGCAGCAGUGGGGAAUAUUGCACAAUGGGCGCAAGCCUGAUGCAGCAACGCCGCGUGAGCGAUGAAGGCCUUCGGGUCGUAAAGCUCUGUUGUAAGUCAAGAAC
rnacentral:rRNA from 1 species